UUGAAUAUUUGGUCAUUAACGUGCUAAAAUAUUAAAGAGAUUAUAAAUCCACACCCUUUACAAUUUACAAUUCACAAAUCUUUAUUAAGCUACCUUACAUGGAAUUAUUUCCUAGUGUCACAUGAAAGGGUUAAGGAAGGAUUUGGUUCGGGGUUAUCACAAUCUGAUAAGGUGCUUGCACCUAUGCGUGAUCAAGAAAAGGUGACUUAAGUUAUGUUGAAUAUUUGGUUACUAAAGUGCUAAAAUAUUCAAAACAUUAUAAAUCCACAUCUAUAUUAUUAAAACAAAAAGGCACAAAUCUUUGUUAAGCUACCUUAAAUGGAAAUAUUGGUCCGAGGUUAUCGCAUUCUGAAAAUGCACCUAUGCGUGAUCAAGAGGUGUAUAGCAGACGGUCUUUGAAAUCACCAUCCAGUUUCAAAAUAAAAAUCAACAUGAAAUUACUGAUCGUCCUGUUCGCCUUGAUAGCAGUUGCUUAUGCCCGCUAUUAUGACAGUUAUGAAUAUGAUUCUAGCAGCUAUGAAAGUGAUGAAAGCUACGAAGAUACAGGAGGGAUCUACACAAAAUUCAAAAGCGGUGCGCUGCAAGCCGUUGCUACCCGUGGUAGCAAGAGUAUAUAAUAUACAAGAAUAAUAAAAGAACAUACAUACAAA